GCAACCAGGGAAUGAGCUUCCUGUAGCCAAUGCAGGGGAAAAUAGCCACAGAGGAGGGCAUUGCAGAUCAAAGUGUGUAGCUAGCAUGACAGCGAGCAAGCCUGGAGACCGACUACACCCCGCCAGCAGAGCGCCAAGGUCAGUUUCUGCCACAGAAUCCGGCUUCAAUCCUCUUGUCCAUCUGUCUCCACUUCAUCUUGAUGACCAGCAUCAGGAAACAUGUGAUGUAAAGCAACAACCUCCACCUGGAGUCAACUUUCUGGCUUUGUUCAGUGACAGUUCUGCCCUUUGAAAACAAGGUCAAUGACAAUUACAACUGAAAUAAGAUUUUGAGUGAGCAGCUGGUCUACACAGUGGGCAGCAGAAUACAUUGAGGACUAUUGUUCAGAAUCUCCCAAAAAUGUUUAUUUGAAGCCAAACUUUUACCGUGGCUACUGUAUUCCAUAUGGCUAACAUCAUCGAGAUCAAUACAGAUCAAUCGAGAGUGCUUAUGAUUAUAAAUUUGCCCUCUUGAUAGUGGCACAGGGCCUAUAAUACUGUAUGGUUCUCUACUACUGGUGUAGAGAAUAAUGUGUAAUAGGAACAUGGUUUUUAAAGCUUAAACAUUUUUACAAUAAAAAUGGAUCAAAUGAUAAA